GGUUAAGCGACUAAGCGUACACGGUGGAUGCCCUGGCAGUCAGAGGCGAUGAAGGACGUGCUAAUCUGCGAUAAGCGUCGGUGAGGUGAUAUGAACCGUUAUAACCGGCGAUUUCCGAAUGGGGAAACCCAGUGUGUUUCGACACACUAUCAUUAACUGAAUCCAUAGGUUAAUGAGGCGAACCGGGGGAACUGAAACAUCUAAGUACCCCGAGGAAAAGAAAUCAACCGAGAUUCCCCCAGUAGCGGCGAGCGAACGGGGAGGAGCCCAGAGCCUGAAUCAGUGUGUGUGUUAGUGGAAGCGUCUGGAAAGGCGUGCGAUACAGGGUGACAGCCCCGUACACAAAAAUGCACAUAUUGUGAGCUCGAUGAGUAGGGCGGGACACGUGGUAUCCUGUCUGAAUAUGGGGGGACCAUCCUCCAAGGCUAAAUACUCCUGACUGACCGAUAGUGAACCAGUACCGUGAGGGAAAGGCGAAAAGAACCCCGGCGAGGGGAGUGAAAAAGAACCUGAAACCGUGUACGUACAAGCAGUGGGAGCCUCUUAAUGGGGUGACUGCGUACCUUUUGUAUAAUGGGUCAGCGACUUAUAUUCUGUAGCAAGGUUAACCGAAUAGGGGAGCCGAAGGGAAACCGAGUCUUAACUGGGCGUUAAGUUGCAGGGUAUAGACCCGAAACCCGGUGAUCUAGCCAUGGGCAGGUUGAAGGUUGGGUAACACUAACUGGAGGACCGAACCGACUAAUGUUGAAAAAUUAGCGGAUGACUUGUGGCUGGGGGUGAAAGGCCAAUCAAACCGGGAGAUAGCUGGUUCUCCCCGAAAGCUAUUUAGGUAGCGCCUCGUGAAUUCAUCUCCGGGGGUAGAGCACUGUUUCGGCAAGGGGGUCAUCCCGACUUACCAACCCGAUGCAAACUGCGAAUACCGGAGAAUGUUAUCACGGGAGACACACGGCGGGUGCUAACGUCCGUCGUGAAGAGGGAAACAACCCAGACCGCCAGCUAAGGUCCCAAAGUCAUGGUUAAGUGGGAAACGAUGUGGGAAGGCCCAGACAGCCAGGAUGUUGGCUUAGAAGCAGCCAUCAUUUAAAGAAAGCGUAAUAGCUCACUGGUCGAGUCGGCCUGCGCGGAAGAUGUAACGGGGCUAAACCAUGCACCGAAGCUGCGGCAGCGACACUAUGUGUUGUUGGGUAGGGGAGCGUUCUGUAAGCCUGUGAAGGUGGCCUGUGAGGGUUGCUGGAGGUAUCAGAAGUGCGAAUGCUGACAUAAGUAACGAUAAAGCGGGUGAAAAGCCCGCUCGCCGGAAGACCAAGGGUUCCUGUCCAACGUUAAUCGGGGCAGGGUGAGUCGACCCCUAAGGCGAGGCCGAAAGGCGUAGUCGAUGGGAAACAGGUUAAUAUUCCUGUACUUGGUGUUACUGCGAAGGGGGGACGGAGAAGGCUAUGUUGGCCGGGCGACGGUUGUCCCGGUUUAAGCGUGUAGGCUGGUUUUCCAGGCAAAUCCGGAAAACCAAGGCUGAGGCGUGAUGACGAGGCACUACGGUGCUGAAGCGACAAAUGCCCUGCUUCCAGGAAAAGCCUCUAAGCAUCAGGUAACAUCAAAUCGUACCCCAAACCGACACAGGUGGUCAGGUAGAGAAUACCAAGGCGCUUGAGAGAACUCGGGUGAAGGAACUAGGCAAAAUGGUGCCGUAACUUCGGGAGAAGGCACGCUGAUAUGUAGGUGAAGCGACUUGCUCGUGGAGCUGAAAUCAGUCGAAGAUACCAGCUGGCUGCAACUGUUUAUUAAAAACACAGCACUGUGCAAACACGAAAGUGGACGUAUACGGUGUGACGCCUGCCCGGUGCCGGAAGGUUAAUUGAUGGGGUUAGCGG
rnacentral:rRNA from 1 species